AUUGAACGCUGGCGGCAGGCCUAACACAUGCAAGUCGAGCGGAUGAAGGGAGCUUGCUCCUGGAUUCAGCGGCGGACGGGUGAGUAAUGCCUAGGAAUCUGCCUGGUAGUGGGGGAUAACGUCCGGAAACGGGCGCUAAUACCGCAUACGUCCUGAGGGAGAAAGUGGGGGAUCUUCGGACCUCACGCUAUCAGAUGAGCCUAGGUCGGAUUAGCUAGUUGGUGGGGUAAAGGCCUACCAAGGCGACGAUCCGUAACUGGUCUGAGAGGAUGAUCAGUCACACUGGAGCUGAGACACGGUCCAGACUCCUACGGGAGGCAGCAGUGGGGAAUAUUGGACAAAGGGCGAAAGCCUGAUCCAGCCAUGCCGCGUGUGUGAAGAAGGUCUUCGGAUUGUAAAGCACUUUAAGUUGGGAGGAAGGGCAGUAAGUUAAUACCUUGCUGUUUUGACGUUACCAACAGAAUAAGCACCGGCUAACUUCGUG
rnacentral:rRNA from 1 species